rnacentral:rRNA from 1 species
GACGAACCGUGCGAACGUUGUUCGGAAUCACUGGGCUUAAAGGGCGCGUAGGCGGGCGGCCGCGUCCGGGGUGAAAUCCCACGGCUCAACCGUGGAACGGCCUCGGAUACGGGCGGCCUCGAGGGGGGUAGGGGCAUCUGAAACUGUGAGUGGAGCGGUGAAAUGCGUUGAUAUUCACAGGAACUCCGGUGGCGAAGGCGAGGUGCUGGACCCCAUCUGACGCUGAGGCGCGAAAGCCAGGGGAGCGAACGGG